rnacentral:lncRNA from 1 species
AAAAGAACAAAGUGUCUGUGAUCAAUCCCAACGACUAAAGUGGAUCCAAUACUUCAACUAGAGCUUUCUUAUUAUUUAUUUCUCUUUUAUUUUAUUAUUCGCUUAUUUUAAUUGCUUUUAGUAGUUUAUUAAUCAAAUCAAUCUCAAACCCCCCAUUUUACUUUUACUGCAAUUUAUUUUUAUUCCGCUUUCAGUUUAUCUCAUUUUUUGUUUAUCUCAUUGUUUCAGUUUAUUGGUCUUGUUGAGAAAAAUAAAUAGGUAAUC